GAUGAACGCUGGCGGCGUGCCUAAUACAUGCAAGUCGAGCGAACAGACGAGGAGCUUGCUCCUCUGACGUUAGCGGCGGACGGGUGAGUCACACGUGGAUAACCUACCUAUAAGACUGGGAUAACUUCGGGAAACCGGAGCUAAUACCGGAUAAUAUAUUGAACCGCAUGGUUCAAUAGUGAAAGACGGUUUUGCUGUCACUUAUAGAUGGAUCCGCGCCGCAUUAGCUAGUUGGUAAGGUAACGGCUUACCAAGGCAACGAUGCGUAGCCGACCUGAGAGGGUGAUCGGCCACACGGGAACUGAGACACGGUCCAGACUCCUACGGGAGGCAGCAGUAGGGAAUCUUCCGCAAUGGGCGAAAGCCUGACGGAGCAACGCCGCGUGAGUGAUGAAGGUCUUCGGAUCGUAAAACUCUGUUAUUAGGGAAGAACAAAUGUGUAAGUAACUAUGCACGUCUUGACGGUACCUAAUCAGAAAGCCACGGCUAACUACGUG
rnacentral:rRNA from 1 species